rnacentral:pre_miRNA from 1 species
AAUAAAUCAAUUUUUCACUUUUUACCUUCAAUUUUUGACUCUUCGUCUUAUCAAAAAAAAUCACGAUUGAUAUUUUUGUUUUUAUUAGAUGAUAAAUUGUAAAUAGUAUUUUACGUGUGACUAAUUUUUUUCUAUUUUCUAAAAUUUUUUUAAAUAAGACGGAUGGUCAAACGUUGGACACGAAAACC